CCUACGGGGGGCAGCAGUGAGGAAUAUUGGUCAAUGGGCGCGAGCCUGAACCAGCCAAGUAGCGUGAAGGAUGACUGCCCUACGGGUUGUAAACUUCUUUUAUAAAGGAACAAAGUGAGGCACGUGUGCCUUUUUGUAUGUACGUUAUGAAUAAGGAUCGGCUAACUCCGUGCCAGCAGCCGCGGUAAUACGGAGGAUCCGAGCGUUAAUCGGAUUUAUUGGGUUUAAAGGGAGCGUAGAUGGGUUGUUAAGUCAGUUGUGAAAGUUUGGGGCUCAACCGUAAAAUUGCAAUUGAUACUGGCAGUCUUGAGUACAGGUGAGGUAGGCGGAAUGCGUGGUGUAGCGGUGAAAUGCAUAGAUAUCACGAAGAACUCCGAUUGCGAAGGCAGCAUACUAGAGUGCCACUGACGUUGAUGCUCGAAAGUGUGGGUAUCAAACAGGAUUAGAUACCCGUGUAGUC
rnacentral:rRNA from 1 species